rnacentral:rRNA from 1 species
CACGUAGGGUGCGAGCGUUUGUCCGGAAUUAUUGGGCGUAAAGAGCUCGUAGGCGGUGUGUCGCGUCGGCCGUGAAAACCUGCAGCUUAACUGUGGCGUGCGGUCGAUACGGGCAUCACUGGAGUUCGGCAGGGGAGACUGGAAUUCCUGGUGUAGCGGUGAAAUGCGCAGAUAUCAGGAGGAACACCGGUGGCGAAGGCGGGUCUCUGGGCCGAUACUGACGUGAGGAGCGAAAGCGUGGGGAGCGAACAGG